rnacentral:rRNA from 1 species
GACAGAGGGUGCUAGCGUUGUUCGGAAUUACUGGGCGUAAAGGGCGCGUAGGCGGGCUGGCAAGUCGGUCGUGAAAUCCCUCGGCUCAACCGAGGAACGUCGAUCGAUACUGCUGUUCUUGAGGAUUGCAGAGGAGACUGGAAUUCCCGGUGUAGCGGUGAAAUGUGUAGAGAUCGGGAGGAACACCGGUGGCGAAGGCGGGUCUCUGGGCAAUUCCUGACGCUGAGGCGCGAAAGCGUGGGGAGCAAACGGG